UCAUCCGGUCUCAUUCAACCAUGGUUCGUCUGAAGGUCCAACGAGGUUCUUGUUGGAUGAUUAACAAAAGGUGUUUGGAAGGAAGCUGGAGCAUUAUGUCCCACUCAACAAGGUACACGUGUGCAACGUGGCUGUAUUUGAAAGGGAUGCUCGAGUCAAGCAUGGACUGCUAGAAGAUUCUAUCAGUGAAACACUAAAUGGGCCCUGCAGAGCAGCACAUGUUCCUGAUCUUCGUUAACAUCUGUCUGUGGGAAUGACUAGUCCUUCAACUGGCCCAUUUCUAGGGCGGAUGACCAAGUAAUUUCAGAGGGGACCAGCUGGGACUAUUUGUAGCAGAACCAAUGUUGUCGUCAUGGUUAUUUUUGUGGUGUACUGUUUGUCCCUGACCACAAUGUGUCUCCUUGUUGACAGGUACAAACGCUCUGGGUGUUCCAUGUGGCAGUUGAAUGCUAUGUGCACUCUUGCAGGUAUCUCAGGCCUUGAUCAUGAUGAAGCCUUCUGGAUGUGUUCAGGAUGUUUCCUACACUUAAUGACUGACUGCACAAAGAUGACAUCGAUUUAUUUAUUUUUCCCUCUUGUAAAGCUGUUACUUUUUCUGGAGUCCUUGAAUUAUUCAAUUUUAUAUUAAAGUUGUUGGUUUCUUUUUCUGAACAUUUGACAAUUUGUUCAUGAAUCUGGAUUGCCUAAAUGCACUUGAAGGAACCAACUAUCCUUAACCAAAAGAAUAUUUGAAGUUCAAUAAAAGUUGAGUCACCAGAAGUUAUUUUGAGUGGUCCUGC